rnacentral:rRNA from 1 species
CCUACGGGUGGCUGCAGUGGGGAAUAUUGCACAAUGGGCGCAAGCCUGAUGCAGCCAUGCCGCGUGUGUGAAGAAGGCCUUCGGGUUGUAAAGCACUUUCAGCGGGGAGGAAGGCGGUGAGGUUAAUAACCUCAUCGAUUGCCGUUACCCGCAGAAGAAGCACCGGCUAACUCCGUGCCAGCGCCGCGGUAAUACGGAGGGUGCAAGCGUUAAUCGGAAUUCCUGGGCGUAAAGCGCACGCAGGCGGUCUGUCAAGUCGGAUGUGAAAUCCCCGGGCUCAACCUGGGAACUGCAUUCGAAACUGGCAGGCUAGAGUCUUGUAGAGGGGGGUAGAAUUCCAGGUGUAGCGGUGAAAUGCGUAGAGAUCUGGAGGAAUACCGGUGGCGAAGGCGGCCCCCUGGACAAAGACUGACGCUCAGGUGCGAAAGCGUGGGGAGCAAACAGGAUUAGAUACCCUUGUAGUC